UCAGGUGGCUCAAAGGGUUAAUGUGCUUGGCUGUUAACCAAGAGGCUGGUGGUUUGAGUCCACCCACAGGCA
rnacentral:tRNA from 1 species